UGGGGAAUAUUGCACAAUGGGGGAAACCCUGAUGCAGCGACGCCGCGUGAGCGAAGAAGGCCUUCGGGUCGUAAAGCUCUUUUAUGAGGGAAGAUAACGACGGUACCUCAAGAAAAAGCCCCGGCUAACUACGUGCCAGCAGCCGCGGUAAUACGUAGGGGGCUAGCGUUGUCCGGAAUCACUGGGCGUAAAGGGUUCGCAGGCGGAAUAACAAGUCAGAUGUGAAAGGCAUGGGCUAAACCCAUGUAAGCAUUUGAAACUGUAAUUCUUGAGAAGGGGAGAGGUAAGUGGAAUUCCUAGUGUAGCGGUGAAAUGCGUAGAUAUUAGGAGGAAUACCUGUGGCGAAGGCGACUUACUGGACACAAAUCUGACGCUGAGGAACGAAAGCGUGGGUAGCAAACAGG
rnacentral:rRNA from 1 species